AUGUCAUGUUUCAGGUUACCAAGAGGCUUAUGCCAGGAGAUCAAUUCCAUCGUACGUAAGUUCUGGUGGGGAUGUAAAGCUGGUGAACGAAAAGCUUGCUGGGUGGCAUGGUCGGAUAUGUUACGAAGAGAGUACAUGGGAGGACUAGGGUUUAGGGACAUAGAAUUGUUCAACCUAGCUCUUUUAGCUCGUCAAGCAUGGAGGGUUCUACAAUCACCAGAUAGUUUGAGUGCGAGGAUACUCAAAGCGAGAUACUUCCCAGCAACAGAGUUCUUGCAAGCAGAUUUGGGCUCGCGACCGUCGCAGGUAUGGCGAGCUAUCCUUGAUGGGAGAGAUACUCUGAAGCAAGGGAUAAUUAAGAGAAUUGGUACGGGCGAAGCUACCGAUCCAUGGAAUGAUAACUGGCUGCCC
rnacentral:rRNA from 1 species